rnacentral:misc_RNA from 1 species
CUAGCCAAUUAUGCUCAAUUCCUCUACGUCGUCGCUCAUGAUUACAACAGAGCAGAAGAUUACUUCAAGAGAGCAGUAAGAGCAGAGCCAGUAGAUGCGGAGGCGUUCAGCAAAUAUGCAAGCUUUCUAUGGAGAGUGAGAAAAGACUUGUGUGCAGCUGAGGAAACCUUUUUGGAAGCCAUUAACGCUGACCCUACAAACUCUUACUAUGCUGCCAAAUUAUGCCCAUUUUCUAUGGAACACUGGCAGCAUAGUAAGAGUUUGUAGGGUCA